AUGGGGUGGGAGGGGGACACUGGGGCCAUCCUCCACUCCCUCCCAGGUGCCGUAGCAGGCAGCUGGAUCAGAAGUGGACAGGGGGACUCGAUCCGGGGCCCACAUGGGAUGGGGGAGGGGUCACGGACGGCUGCACCCGCCCCACUGCUGCAGGCCCGAGGGCUCCGAGUCCUGGCUGAGAUCCGCGUCUCCCGAGUCAGCUGGCGGGCGGAGGAGGCGUUUUCCAACAUGGGAUCUGUGACAGGAGUGGCCAGUGCACUGCUCUGUGCGUCCUCACUGCCCGCGUCCCGGCCCUGCGUCCUGCACGUGUGCCCCAGCUCCCAGGCUGCGUGGACAGGCGCCCAGGGCGGGCUCCCCACCAAGUCCAUGUGGCUGCCUCUGCCUGCCCCCGGCCUCUCAGCGCCCUGGUGUUGGGUGCCUGCCCUCUGCAGGCGAUGUCGCCGCGUGCCAGGCCCCAUGGUGGGAGGAGGCCAGAGAGGGCGGGCAGCCUCCCCAGAGUGGCCUCCGCAGGCCCGGGCUCCCGUGCUGGGAGUGGUGCCCCCCGGAGGCCCCGGCCCACUGGGUGUGAGCUGGGGCAGGAAGUGGUUGGCCGCACCCUGGCCAGGCAGGAAACGUGGUGCGCAGGGCCUCGCAGGAACCCGUAUCCCCAGGUGCAGCAGUGUCCGCUCCCGACGUGGGCCCACGGUAACAUCACGGGCACAUUGUGGGGACUUUAUGGGGUCAUCACAAGGACAUCACAGGGACAUAAAGGGGACGUCUCGGCACGUCACGGGGACCCGCCGUGCUGCGGGGCGCUGGGCUGCGGGCCGACUGUUUGUCUCCCCUCACCGGGAGCUCCUCCUGCGUCUCCUGCCCAGCUGUGGAGGCCUUUGCUUCCGCGGGCCACGCACUGCAGCCCCUGCUGCCCCCGUGUGGCCGAGGGACGCAGGACAGAGCCAGGAUUCUGUCCCAGCUCCUGCUGUACCGUGGCGCCAGCCCCAGGACCUCGCUCGGAAGCCGCUGAGGACACGGCUCUGCCCCGUGACCCUGCAGGGCCUGGGAAGAAACCUGGCAGGUGGACGUGGCUCAGGGCCGGCUGACCCCAGGACAGGGCCCAGGCAGGGGCAGCUGGGCGGGCAGCCCCAUGCAGGCCCACCGGGAGCACACGGCCCAUGA
rnacentral:lncRNA from 1 species